GAUGAAGAACGUGGCGAAAUGCGAUACUUGGUGUGAAUUGCAGAAUCCCGUGAACCAUCGAGUCUUUGAACGCAAGUUGCGCCUCAAGCCAUUAGGUUGAGGGCACGUCUGCCUGGGCGUCACAUAUCGUUGCCUGAUGCCAGUUUCCUCGUGAUGGGUGACUGUGCAGGGCGAAUGAUGGCUUCCCGUGAGCAUUGUUGCCUCAUGGUUGGUUGAAAAUUGAGUCCUUGGUAGGGAGCGCCGUGAUAGAUGGUGGUUGAGUGACGAACGAGACCCAAUCAUGUGAGACCCCUACCGAAUUUGGCCUUCAUGACCCACAUGCGUCUUUGGAACGCUCAUGACGAGACCUCAGGUCAGGCGGGGCUACCCGCUGAGUUUAAGCAUAUCAAUAAGCGGAGGA
rnacentral:misc_RNA from 1 species